rnacentral:lncRNA from 1 species
GGAUGAUGAUACGCCAAUCAAGAGGAGCUGAGACCAGACCUGACCGCGCCUGUGGGGGUAAGCACCCCAAGGCGACCUCUUCGCUUGUUGGGGUGAGAACCCGAAGGCGACCUCUCUUCCCUUUGGGGUGAGCACCCAAAGGCAACCUCUGCGAUCUCUCCGUCUGUUGGGGUGAGCACCCGAAGGCGACCUCUGCGAUCUCUCUGUCUGUUGGGGUGAGCACCCGAAGGCGACCUCUGCGAUCUCUCCGUCUGUUGGGGUGAGCACCCGAAGGCGACCUCUGCGAUCUCUCCGUCUGUUGGGGUGAGCACCCGAAGGCGACCUCUGCGAUCUCUCCGUCUGUUGGGGUGAGCACCCGAAGGCGACCUCUCCUUAAGAUACCCAAGCCUCAAUGACUUUACUUCAUGCUUGUGGGAGUGAUACUAAAUCCUCAUUACCAUCUUCAGACCUGUGUUAUGUUAAAGUUUAAGUCUAAAGACCUUGCAUCAUAUCUAUUCAUGAUUUUAGCCAUCAUGUUCUUGUAAGGAUUAUUGCUACCUGCUAUGGUAUUUGUUACUUAGUAGUAACUGAUGUUUCUGCAUAUUGGUUUCGUUUCUGACUGGUUUUACUUUCUGAAUUGCUUUCCAUUCGUUUCUAAACAGUAGCUAUCUGUUUUUCCCCCUAUUUGUAUCACUUAAGCUAAGCAUAUAAUAUGUUGCUACAUGCAAAUUUGGUCAGCAAUCAACCCAGUCGGUUUGAGUCUAUGGAUCGGGUAGAUAAAUAUGAUCUGAGGUUGUGGUAGUAGCUCUCCACGGCAAACAGAUGAUUUGAGGUUGUGGCUGUAGCUCUCUACAGCGAACAGUGCAUCUGUUUUGAGUAUCCUGUCACUUUGUUGUGG